GACGAACGCUGGCGGCGUGCUUAACACAUGCAAGUCGAACGGAAAGGCCCUGCUUGUGUGGGGUGCUCGAGUGGCGAACGGGUGAGUAACACGUGAGUAACCUGCCCUUGACUUUGGGAUAACUUCAGGAAACUGGGGCUAAUACCGGAUAGGAGCUCCUGCUGCAUGGUGGGGGUUGGAAAGUUUAGGCGGUUGGGGAUGUAUUCGCGGCUUAUCAGCUUGUUGGUAGGGUAGUGGCUUACCAAGGCUUUGACGGGUAGCCGGCAUGAGAGGGUGACCGGGGCCAUUGGUACUGCGAGACGGAGCAGACUCGUAUGUGAGGCAGUAGUGGGGAAUCUUGCCCAAUGGGCGGACGCCUGAUGUAGAAACGCUGGGUGCGGGAUGACGGCCUUCGGGUUGUAAACCGCUUUCGCCUGUGACGAAGCGUGAGUGACGGUAACGGGUAAAGAAGCACCGGCUAACUACGUG
rnacentral:rRNA from 1 species